AUGGAGAGAUGUAUUCUGCUGCUUCUUAUAACAGUACCAGGUAUAUUUGCUGACAGCAUUAAACCAAAAGACAAGGAAAAUAUAAUCAGGACAGAAGGAGAGUCUGUGACACUGAGCUGUACAUAUGAUGCAAGCAGCAAUAAUGUUAUGCUUUACUGGUACAGACAGUAUCCAAACAGAGAACCUCAGUAUUUACUGCGCAAAGGUGCUGGAUCGUGGCGCAAUAGUGAGGAUAUACCAGAUCCUCACUUUCAGUCGACUACACCCAAAUCAUCGACUGAACUCAUUAUUAACAGUGUGACUCUGUCAGAUUCAGCUCUCUAUUAUUGUGCUCUAAGAGUUGGAGCCCAGUGAUACAAAGUCUAUGUGAAGCUGUACAAAAACUGAAAAUUAUUUUUCACUUUGAUCUCAAGCCACAUCAAACCCACAAUCUAUA